ACACGUAGGGGGCGAGCGUUGUUCGGAAUCAUUGGGCGUAAAGGGCGCGCAGGCGGCGAGGCAAGUCCGGUGUGAAAGUGCUCGGCUCAACCGAGUGAUGCGCUGGAAACUGCCCUGCUUGAGUACAGGAGGGGACGUCGGAAUUCCAGGUGUAGGGGUGAAAUCUGUAGAUAUCUGGAAGAACACCGGUGGCGAAGGCGGACGACUGGCCAUGUACUGACGCUGAGGCGCGAAGGUGCGGGGAGCGAACAGGUUUAGAUACCCUGGUAGUCCGCACAGUAAACGAUGUGCACCAGGUGGCGGGGGGUAGCCCUCGGUACCGAAGCAAACGCAUUAAGUGCACCGCCUGGGGAGUAUGCUCGCAAGGGUGAAACUCAAAUGAAUUG
rnacentral:rRNA from 1 species